rnacentral:tRNA from 1 species
GAGGGUGUAGCUCAGUGGUAGAGUGCAUGCUUAGCAUGCAUGAGGUCCUGGGUUCAAUCCCCUGUACCUACG